GUUUCUUCAGAAGAAGUUUCUUCUCCAAUAACUUCACAGGCAAUGAAUUGAACCUGUUUGACCGCAAAAUUACAAUAAAGACAUGAAAGAUUGUAGUCCAGAACUGAACAAUAUUUUGCUUGUACCAUACAUAACAGCAUUUGUAAGGAAGUAAUAGAUGAUUCACGAUUCCCUAGUAUUCAUACUUCACUACCGCUUUCUACACAUGCUCAUUUUUCAUUUCUAUCAGCAGUGUUUGACUCUUUAGAAGAAGUGUUUGUUCUCCAUCAACUUCACAGGACAAAUUGACUGUGUUUGACAGCAAAAUUUCAACACAGGCAACAAAGUUUUGACAGCAAAAUUACCAUGAAGGGAACAACGAUUGUAGUCCAGUUUGCUGUGAGUUGAUUUUUUUUUCAGUUCUGUAGUCACUGGAGUUGAACUGUUUUGAGGAGUUGCCUCUUUCCUAUGGAUAUCAUUUUGAUAACGUUGGUUACUAGUGCAGGCACUUCAAAGUGAUAAUUAAAGCCAAGCGGUGCAUGGCCUGGCUUUGAUUUUAAUUCUAUAACUUCAACAGUGAAAUACAGGAGGAGAAGAAUGAGAGCUGCAGCAGGAAGGGAAGCAAACACGCAAACAUAAGUACAUCAUCAAAGCAGCAAGAAGACUCCAAGGAGUUAUGGUGAGGUGCAGUCCAGCAAUUCAAGAGCAGCAGUAGGAAGACAAGCCAUCAUGCAAUCAUCGGCGCAGCAUCAAAGCAGCAAGAAGACUCCAAGUUGC